GCUGCUAUCCCACAAGUUGACUAGGAUAGGAUCGGAUAGGAUUCAGGAUUGAGGAUUCACGAUAGAAACAUAUAGAAAUUAAUCCAAUCCUAUCCUAUCCUAUCCUAUCCUGUAUCCUACAGCCAAUCAGAUUCGAGCAAAGGUUAAUUCAUAUUUCAGAAUAAAUUACAAAAACGAAAUACGGUAUAAAAUGUUUACAAUAGAAAUAUUUAUAAUUUUUUCAAAAGAAAAUAAAACAUUCUUUUCUCUUAACACAUAUUUACAUUAUAAACUUCGAGUAACACGGCGUACGAUCUAACCGUGAACGAUCACCGGAAGAUUUGGGAAUGUAAACAACGAAGAGCCCAGGCAUCGAAAGACAGUAUUUCUUCAGCUUGUUUGGAUGAUUUAACCGAUUCUUACUUGUGUAAAAGUGUAUUAACAUGUUUUUCUGUUAAAUAUGCUCUGUUUGUUUGGAUAAUUCCACAGGAACCGUCAGCAGCGGACUUGAAUAGAUGAUGUGCUAUAUCAUAAAAUGGAUUGUCUGCACUCAUGCGUCAUCGCAGUACAAGGAUUUCAACCUAAAAAGUAUAAACCCUGGACAUUUACAGCUGUACAGAAUGCAGUUCAUGCCAUAUGCUGUUAGUGUAAAUGAUGAAAGAUGUUCAAACCAGUGUCACAGAGUCCUAAGUCUGAAAUCAUGGUGUUUUUACUAAGGAGAUCAGUGUGUUUUCUCUGCAUUGUUGACAUUUGAAGAACUGUUCGGUUUAUGAC